GGGGAAUCUUCCGCAAUGGGCGAAAGCCUGACGGAGCAACGCCGCGUGUGGGAUGAAGGCCUGUGGGUUGUAAACCACUUUUCUCAGGGACGAAGCUCUGACGGUACCUGAGGAAUCAGCCUCGGCUAACUCUGUGCCAGCAGCCGCGGUAAGACAGAGGAGGCAAGCGUUAUCCGGAAUUAUUGGGCGUAAAGCGUCCGUAGGUGGUUUGACAAGUCUGGGGUCAAAGCCCGGAGCCCAACUCCGGAUCGGCCUUGGAAACUGUCAGACUGGAGUAAGGUAGGGGUUGCGGGAAUUCCCGGUGUAGCGGUGAAAUGCGUAGAUAUCGGGAAGAACACCAGCGGCGAAAGCGCGCAACUGGGCCAUUACUGACACUGAGGGACGAAAGCUAGGGGAGCGAAUGGGAUUAGAUACCCCAGUAGUC
rnacentral:rRNA from 1 species